rnacentral:rRNA from 1 species
UACGGGGGGGGCAAGCGUUGUUCGGAAUUACUGGGCGUAAAGGGCUCGUAGGUGGCCAACUAAGUCAGACGUGAAAUCCCUCGGCUUAACCGGGGAACUGCGUCUGAUACUGGAUGGCUGGAGUAUGGGAGAGGGAUGCGGAAUUCCAGGUGUAGCGGUGAAAUGCGUAGAUAUCUGGAGGAACACCGGUGGCGAAGGCGCCCACCUGGCCUGCUACUGACGCUGAAGCUCGAAAGCUAGGGGAGCAAACGGG